rnacentral:rRNA from 1 species
AGCCAGACUCCUACGGGAGGCAGCAGUGGGGAAUAUUGCGCAAUGGGGGCAACCCUGACGCAGCAACGCCGCGUGAUUGAAGAAGGCCUUCGGGUUGUAAAGAUCUUUAAUCAGGGACGAAAAAUGACGGUACCUGAAGAAUAAGCUCCGACUAACUACGUGCCAGCAGCCGCGGUAAUACGGAGGAUGCGAGCGUUAUCCGGAUUUAUUGGGUUUAAAGGGUGCGCAGGCGGAUUUUUAAGUCAGCGGUCAAAUCGUGGGGCUCAACCCCAUCCAGCCGUUGAAACUGGGGAUCUAGAGUGUGCGAGAGGUAUGCGGAAUGCGUGGUGUAGCGGUGAAAUGCAUAGAUAUCACGCAGAACCCCGAUUGCGAAGGCAGCAUACCGGUGCACAACUGACGCUCAGGCACGAAAGCGUGGGUAUCGAACAGGAUUAGAUACCCGAGUACG